GGGUGCUCGAGUGGCGAACGGGUGAGUAACACGUGAGUAACCUGCCCUUGACUUUGGGAUAACUUCAGGAAACUGGGGCUAAUACCGGAUAGGAGCUCCUGCUGCAUGGUGGGGGUUGGAAAGUUUCGGCGGUUGGGGAUGGACUCGCGGCUUAUCAGCUUGUUGGUGGGGUAGGGGCUUACCAAGGCUUUGACGGGUAGCCGGCCUGAGAGGGUGACCGGCCACAUUGGGACUGAGAUACGGCCCAG
rnacentral:rRNA from 1 species